UCUCCUUGUUUCACAAGGCGAAUUGUAAUCUAUAGAGGUAGUUCACACCGGGUGGUGGCGCAGAAGUUCCCUGGAACGGGACGCCAAAGAGGGUGAGAGCCCCGUAUGUGGUGCCGCCGCCUAACGUAGAACGCUCUCAAAGAGUCGGGUUGUUUUGUAGCGCAGCCCUAAUCAGGAGAUAAACUUCUUCUAAGGCUAAAUAUAUAUGGGAAACCGAUAGCGAACAAGUACUGUGAAGGAAAGAUGAAAAGCACUUUGGAAAGAGAGUCAAAAGACCUGAAACCGUUGAGGAGGAAGCGGUAGAGAUGAAUUCUAUAACGAGUCACUGGAAAAAUGGCCUAACUUUCUCAAAUACAUAGUACGUCAAAGACUAUCGUUUGUUCCAAGGGAAGCCAUUGACUUGUGCUGCGUUGUGAGACCGGAUGGGGUGACGUGAUCACAGAGGCCUGCUUGGCCUGGCUCAACUCGUUGGGCAGCCAGGAAGUGCCGGUGAUUUCGUGGCCUGAGGGUGCUUUGUGCGAUCCGGUCAAAAUGGUCUUUACCGACUCGUCUUGAAACACGAACCAAGGAGUCUA
rnacentral:rRNA from 1 species